GACAGGAGAGGAGAGGAGAGCUGUCUAGUAAGGACAGGAGAGGAGAGGAGAGGAGAGGAGAGCUGUCUAGUAAGGACAGGAGAGGAGAGGAGGGCUGUCUAGUAAGGACAGGAGAGGAGAGGAGGGCUGUCUAGUAAGGACAGGACAGGAGAGGAGGGCUGUCUAGUAAGGACAGGAGAGGAGAGGAGGGCUGUCUAGUAAGGACAGGAGAGGAGAGGAGGGCUGUCUAGUAAGGACAGGAGAGGAGAGGAGGGGUGUCUAGUAAGGACAGGACAGGAGAGGAGGGGUGUCUAGUAAGGAGAGGAGAGGAGGGGAGAGGAGGGGUGUCUAGUAAGGACAGGACAGGAGAGGAGGGCUGUCUAGUAAGGACAGGAGAGGAGAGGAGGGCUGUCUAGUAAGGAGAGGAGAGGAGAGGAGGGCUGUCUAGUAAGGACAGGACAGGAGAGGAGAGGAGAGCUGUCUAGUAAGGACAGGAGAGGAGAGGAGAGCUGUCUAGUAAGGACAGGAGAGGAGAGGAGGGCUGUCUAGUAAGGACAGGACAGGACAGGAGAGGAGAGGAGGGCUGUCUAGUAAGGACAGGACAGGAGAGGAGAGGAGAGCUGUCUAGUAAGGACA
rnacentral:lncRNA from 1 species